GCCGCAGGGGUUGGGAGCUGCAGCUCCAGGACUCCUGCCAAAUUUCUGGGACCUGCAGGGGGCUGAGUCCCGGCCUUUGAAGACUGGUGCCCUGGAAAAACGGCUCCUGUGCAGGCUGCCUCCCAGCUCUGUCCUCCCACACUUCGUCCUCCCACAGGUUUGCUCUUUUCUGCUUCCUGCCUUCAUUUCCUGAAUGACAUCCUUUUGAGCAUGUAUGAUGACAAGCAGGGCUGGACCCUGGGUCUGCAGCAGUGAACCGGCCCAGUCACCUGCCCUCAGGGGUCUUGCAGGAGGUAGGUCUCGGAAAGAAGAAAGGGGUAACUGCUACCCAUAAGGUGGUUGGGAAGGGCUGCCCCUGGCCCCAGCGUGACUGCUGCCCACCACCUCCAGGGCCUCCGCAUCCUCUCCCGCACUGCAGACCAGCAAGCCCCUCCCCUGCUGUGGCCUUUCCAGUAACGGCUGCUGGGAGAGAAAGUGCCAGUCGGAGAGUGAGUGUGCAGCCAGGUGGGGCCAUUUCCCCUGCGUCCACAUAGUGGCCCACCCAGCAGGACUGUCCCGUUCCUGUUUCCCCUGGUGCAUGCUCUAGGGAUGCCCCAGACGGGCCCUGCCCUCUGACCCCUGCCUGUCCGGGCUCAGCGUCCUCUGCUCCCUUUGUCCUCUGAUGCUCCAGCCCUUUCUGCCGCCCAGCCUGUGUGUGGAUCAGGGCUGUUUUGGGGGUGGGCUUAGAGGGCACGGGAUGGAAGUUGUUUGGAGGGGAGGGGCCAUAUGCAAUUUGUUUAUCAUGUGCAUUUUUUCAUUUGCCAUUCUCACUGUGAUUGAUUUGAAUGAAUUUGGCACUGUGAAAUCUGCAGAGUCAAAAAUCAAAAAGAAAAAUCAAAAGAACAUCGGCAUUGGAGGCACAUGCAAUAAAGGAGUCCAGGUGGUAGUUGGAGGUUGGAGGCUGGAAGGAACACACAGGUCUCAAAGGAAGUGGCUGAGGGAUCUGCAGAGACUCAUCUGAGCCUGUGGCUGAUGACAGGGUGUUGGGGCAGCCACGGCCGAGAGGGCCGUGCUCGGAGCCACACAGCUUUCAGUGCUCACGAGAAGGGACUGGCCCUCCCCAGGGCUGACCAAGUUCCUCAGUACUGCAUCCAGCUGUGCUCCUGGCCUCAUUUCUUCUCUCCUUCAUGAAUUAACUCCCAGACACAGCAGCCCCUGGAGGUGGUGGGGACUAACCAGGGACGGGAAAGGGUCAGUCAGCCUGUGGUCAGCAGGGUGGGCGGGUGCAGGCCUGGUGUUCCCAGGAUACUUUGCUGGGUCAUGCAGUUAUCCCCAUCACGUAUCACUCCAGCUCCCUGGCGGGCACAGCCUGUGGCUGUUCCUGGAGGCACCCCUGGAAUGAGUACAGUUCAUGGACAGGCUUCAAAACAGCCCAGAGCAAAGAUUUGGGUCUGAGGGCGGGGGCAUGGCUCUGCGGUCUUCGCCUCCACGGUUCCCUGACUUGGUCCUGCAGUUGCCCAGGAGAGGCAAGGCCACCUCCUUGUUAAGGGCUUGCUUGUUCCUGGUGGUCUCUGUCAGGAGCCCCCACCCCGCUGGCCCCAGACUCCAACACCUGUCCAGGUGUGUGAGCCAGUGUACAUCUGGCAGCAGAGAGGCCUGUACGAGCACAGCCCACAGGCCCCAGUGACGUUUGUCAAGUGUUUAUUCUAUCAACAUUCUUCAUUUCUGGCCUGAUUUCAAUCCUAGGAGGUGGGUACAAUAAGUCCAAUUCUAAAAAUAAUAAAAUGGAACAGAGACCUGAGGAGUUGGCUUCAUGAUGGGGGAUCAAUGUCCCAAUUUUAGCACCAAAGUCCUGCGACCUGGGAAGCCCUCGGUGCUGGGCAAACCAGGAUGGUUGUUGCCCUGAUUCAGGAUCACCCAGGUAAUAGGUAGAGGGCUGAAUUCAAGCCCGGCUCAGCCGCAUGGAGCCUCGGCCUGCACUCUGCACUGCUUCUGAGCGGUGCUGGGAGCAGCGCUGUCCAAGGAGCCCGGGUCAUAAAACCCAGCUGGUGAAUAGGAACCAUGUUUGUAUGUUCUAGAAGAUGAAAGAAUAGAAUUGAAUUGAAUAAUAAAGAUCAGAGUACAUUAUGCACAAUUAGGACACAUAUAUUUUAAUGAAGAAAGUAAUUUAAAUAAAAAUGUGUUUUAUUUAUGCUUAUAUAUUUUUGCUUGUGUAUAUAUGUGUGUAUAUAAUGUUUUAGAUAUACAAAUAUAUGUGUUAUAAGUAUGUUUGGUAUUUUAUUUCAUAUUUUAUAUUUAUGUUUUAUGUUGUAAAUAUGUUUAUCGGUUAUAAAUCUAUGUGAAUA
rnacentral:lncRNA from 10 species